rnacentral:rRNA from 1 species
GACGAACGCUGGCGGCGUGCUUAACACAUGCAAGUCGAACGGAAAGGCCCUGCUUUUGUGGGGUGCUCGAGUGGCGAACGGGUGAGUAACACGUGAGUAACCUGCCCUUGACUUUGGGAAAACUUGAGGAAACUGGGGCUAAUACCGGAUAGGAGCUCCUGCUGCAUGGUGGGGGGUGGAAAGUUUCGGCGGUUGGGGAUGGACUCGCGGCUUAUCAGCGUGUUGGUGGGGUAGUGGCUAACCAAGGCUUUGACGGGUAGCCGGCCUGAGAGGGUGACCGGCCACAGUGGGACUGAGAUACGGCCCAGACUCCUACGGGAGGCAGCAGUGGGGAAUAUUGCACAAUGGGCGGAAGCCUGAUGCAGCAACGCCGCGUGCGGGAUGACGGCCUUCGGGUUGUAAACCUCUUUCGCCUGUGACGAAGCGUGAGUGACGGUAAUGGGUAAAGAAGCACCGGCUAACUACGUG